UACGUAGGGGGCAAGCGUUGUCCGGAAUCAUUGGGCGUAAAGAGCGUGUAGGCGGCUCGGUAAGUCCGCUGUAAAAGUCCAGGGCUCAACCCUGGAAAGCCGGUGGAAACUGUCGGGCUAGAGUCCGGAAGAGGCGAGUGGAAUUCCUGGUGUAGCGGUGAAAUGCGCAGAUAUCAGGAGGAACACCGGUGGCGAAGGCGGAUCUCUGGGCCGGUACUGACGCUGAGACGCGAAAGCGUGGGGAGCGAACAGG
rnacentral:rRNA from 1 species